rnacentral:rRNA from 1 species
CACACUGGGACUGAGACACGGCCCAGACUCCUACGGGAGGCAGCAGUGGGGAAUAUUGCACAAUGGGCGCAAGCCUGAUGCAGCGACGCCGCGUGAGGGAUGACGGCCUUCGGGUUGUAAACCUCUGUUAGCAGGGAAGAAGAGAGAUUGACGGUACCUGCAGAGAAAGCGCCGGCUAACUACGUGCCAGCAGCCGCGGUAAUACGUAGGGCGCGAGCGUUGUCCGGAAUUAUUGGGCGUAAAGAGCUUGUAGGCGGUUUGUCGCGUCUGCUGUGAAAGGCCGGAGCUUAACUCCGUGUAUUGCAGUGGGUACGGGCAGACUAGAGUGCAGUAGGGGAGACUGGAAUUCCUGGUGUAGCGGUGGAAUGCGCAGAUAUCAGGAGGAACACCGAUGGCGAAGGCAGGUCUCUGGGCUGUAACUGACGCUGAGAAGCGAAAGCAUGGGGAGCGAACAGGAUUAGAUACCCUGGUAGUCCAUGCCGUAAACGUUGGGCACUAGGUGUGGGGGACAUUCCACGUUUUCCGCGCCGUAGCUAACGCAUUAAGUGCCCCGCCUGGGGAGUACGGCCGCAAGGCUAAAACUCAAAGAAAUUGACGGGGGCCCGCACAAGCGGCGGAGCAUGCGGAUUAAUUCGAUGCAACGCGAAGAACCUUACCAAGGCUUGACAUAUACUGGACCGCAUCAGAGAUGGUGUUUCCCUUCGGGGCUGGUAUACAGGUGGUGCAUGGUUGUCGUCAGCUCGUGUCGUGAGAUGUUGGGUUAAGUCCCGCAACGAGCGCAACCCUCGUUCUAUGUUGCCAGCACGUUAUGGUGGGGACUCAUAGGAGACUGCCGGGGUCAACUCGGAGGAAGGUGGGGAUGACGUCAAAUCAUCAUGCCCCUUAUGUCUUGGGCUUCACGCAUGCUACAAUGCCGGGGUUAACUCGGAGGAAGGUGGGGAUGACGUCAAAUCAUCAUGCCCCUUAUGUCUUGGGCUUCACGCAUGCUACAAUGGUUGGUACAGAGGGUUGCGAUACUGUGAGGUGGAGCGAAUCCCUUAAAGCCAGUCUCAGUUCGGAUUGGGGUCUGCAACUCGACCCCAUGAAGGUGGAGUCGCUAGUAAUCGCAGAUCAGCAACGCUGCGGUGAAUACGUUCUCGGGCCUUGUACACACCGCCCGUCACGUCACGAAAGUUGGUAACACCCGAAGCCCAUGGCCUAACC